rnacentral:rRNA from 1 species
GACGGGGGGGCAAGUGUUCUUCGGAAUGACUGGGCGUAAAAGGCACGUAGGCGGUGAAUCGGGUUGAAAGUGAAAGUCGCCAAAAAGUGGCGGAAUGCUCUCGAAACCAAUUCACUUGAGUGAGACAGAGGAGAGUGGAAUUUCGUGUGUAGGGGUGAAAUCCGUAGAUCUACGAAGGAACGCCAAAAGCGAAGGCAGCUCUCUGGGUCCCUACCGACGCUGGGGUGCGAAAGCGUGGGGAGCAAACAGG